rnacentral:lncRNA from 1 species
UGCAGUCUCUUUAAUUAAUUAUUGACAAAUAGCUUGAAAUCUUUCAAAAUGCGGUCCAUUCAUUUUGCGGUUGCGGUUGUGAUUUCUUCGUUUUGUUGAAGCUCGCCCAGCCUCUCAACAACGGUGCAAUCCACUUUACAUAUGAGGAGGUGGGGGGAGCUGCCCUUGUUGCAGAGGAGGACCUUGCUUCCUCGGUCUAUUUGUAUUAAUAAAAUUUACUAUCUGCUUCUCAUACAUACCCAACUUCUCUUUCAAACCAGAUGUAAUGCUACUCUUGGGAAUCUGUAAGACUGAUAUGAGGCGCUCCAACAUGGUUUUGAACAUUUUUAGCUUCUCAAGCUGCUCUGACUUUGGUUGUUGUGGAAGAGAAUCGUGCUGGCAAACAGAAAGAACAGACGUCAGUAAGCAAAAGAAUGGCAAUAUAAGGAGUAACAACUUUGUCGCGAAAUCUUAUUAGCAUUAUUGGUGAGGUAACAAUCCCAAUUAGACAGUCUACAUGGGUACAAUAAUUAAAAGGGAGAUCAAGGUAGAAUCCAUCAAAGAGCAGCACCACAAUAACCUAGCAGGGAAAGCCCCGCUUAUUGCUAAAAGUUCAAGCAACAAAUUAUGAGAGAAGAAAAAAUUGAAUUGAUUACAUACCUGCUGAAGUUUAGUAGCAAUUUUCUGAUACAUUUCACUUAGUUCGGGUACGUACCUUUCCUUCAUGACUUUGAUCUGCAAAUGAAAGUUAUAAAUACAAAGAUGAUUAGAAAGAACUUUGCUGCAGCUACAUGCUUGCCGAUACUCAUGAAUUCAGACAGCAUGAAUUCAUGUAUGCUUGUAUCUAAUGAAGCAAGUUUUAAUUAACUCCCAACCGAUGGUAGCUUAACAAAGCUGCCCCACAAGGAAUCUUAACUAGCAUGUAAUUUCUUCAAAAUCCCCAUUCAAGGCAAUUUUGGCAUUAGUAUAAUUAUUUUCCAGUAGCUCUAUUCCCACCCCCACGCCAAAUAAUUUGUGUUUUUAUAUUUAGAUGUUGUAUGUGAAAGCCAUCAAAUGGACAAGAAGUCAGGACAUCUUACUUUUUGAUAGACCUCCUCUUGCCAAUCACCCCCAUUUGCAUAUCCAGUCUGAGCUGAGGAAUCUAGAGAAGCUACAAAAUAUAGAGAGAUAUAUAUGUCAAUGUUUGCACAUAAAAUGAAAUUUGAACACGAGGGUUAAAAAUGAGAAAGAAAAAAAAAAGCAUUGCAUGGAAAACAUUGAUAUGGAAAAUUAUCCUUCCCAAACAGUUGAGGUGCAAUUUUGCUCCUACUUUCUGCUUAUGACAGCAAUUACAUUUUUAUGGGAAGACUUCAGGUGCAAUUUUGCCCUUGAUUGGGGACUUGGGGUUGCAUACCGAAAGACCCUACUCAAGUAAAUAGCGAGAAUAAACACCAUAUCAAGAAUAAACACCAUAUAAACAAGCAUCAAAACAAGAAAACAAUAAAUGUCAUUUGUACUCAUCAUUUGAUCCAUUAAAUACAAGCGAAUAAAGAUAUCAAGAACGAAUCAUCUCAGUUAAGAAAUGCGGGAGUAAUUAAGAAAAAGAACGAACAUUUCUCGCAACAGAUCAACCAUCAAGAAGAAAGGUAGCCAAGAGAGAAAAGGGCAGUUUUCAAUAGUUGUUUUUACUGUUACCAGCAGAGUUAGAUUGUAAAGGAUUGCCCAUUGAAUUCUGAGACUUGGUCUCCAGUGUGAGCAUCUUCAGAGAAAUUUUCCGUAGAUAAUCCGACUACAAAAUAAAAAAAUCCAUGCUAAAUUUAGAAUACAGUUCUAUCCAAAAUAUGAAGAAAGUUCAAACAUAUACAACAUUUUUUUAAGAAGUCAUAUAUGUAAUAGAUAGGUAAGUAUUUAAGUACACAAACAUUUCAUGCACCAUAAGAAAUAAGAACUCUGGUAUUAUGGAAGCACCUGGCUUGUGGCUGCAGUAUAAAUCUUUUCCUCAAACCUUACAGCAAUUUUACUGAGUUCCUGCAAUCCAUCUUGUCCGGAGAAGGGAAAAUGCCUCUUCAACGUAUCCAUUCUAUACAUGCAAUAAAAUCAACACCAGUUACUGACUACCAAUAUGUUUUAAGUUUGAAGUCCUCCCGCCAUAGUUUAGAUUAGAUUACGCUAAAUUAGACUACCGCUUGAAACAAAAAAAAGAAUCGACAAAGAAAAACACUUACAGAUUGUUGACAAUUCUUUGCCUUGAAUCAGCCUGCAGCUGACUCCUCCAAUCGCCGGCAUCCAUGGCGGCCUCUCCAACUUGAGAAGGCCUCCACUUAUUGGUAUCCAUCAAAUCCAAUCAACCCAACAAAACUGCCAAAAACAAAAGCACAGGACUGAGCAACUUCAACGAAAACCUACGAAAACGGCACAAAAAUUCGUACAAGAGCUAUUCGAACGACGAUACAGUUUAUAAUUACGCAGGCAGUUUUUUUGCUUCAGAAAUUGCAUUCAUUCAAGCUGAUUCUAAACACGGUUUAGGCGCCAUGAAAAAUCAAAACUUGCAAUUCACAUACAAUCGAAAACCAGAUACGAUUUACACAAUCAAAUCAAAAAAAAAAAAAACAAUAACGAAUUUCCCACAAAACCCACGAUCGAUCAACAUCUAAAACAAAAAACCCAACAAAAUUUGACCAAAAAGUUACCUCUUUUGUUUCAGAACAGGAGAAUUGAAGAUUGAAAGGUUCAGGUUGCCUGGAGUGAAACAACGGAGAAAUUGCAGAACUGGGAAAUCGGGGGAUUGGGAAAGGAAGGAGGGUUCUUGCUCAAAAGCUUCAAACUUUGACAAGAUUGAAUGGAUUGAGGGGAUGGUUUGGGAGUGACAUAAAAAAAAAAAGCACCAUGAAAAAAAGUGCGAGAGUUUUAGGUGUUUGGUAAACUGAAGAAAAAAAAGCUUAUUUUGGAAGCUGAUGUGAGAAUAAGCUGAAAUUAAAAGAAAAAGCUGAAGCUGCUAUUUGCAGCUUUGGAAAACUGGCAUUUUUUCAAAACACACAGAGCUAGAGUGCUCUUUUAAUGAAAAGACCCACUAUCAGAUUGUUUUUUUUUUUUUUCAAAAGCACUUUUACAAAAAAGUUUACCAAACACUCUACUGAUUUAUUUCACAGCUGCUUAUUCUCACAACAACUUUUUUUUCAAAGCACAGCAAUAUCAGACCAGCCCUGAUGCGUCUGAUGUGGUCUUUUUAGUUAAGUAGGAAGGGAGAGACAACAAAUAUCCCGUUUUAACCAAUGUCUGAUUUUUUAGGUUUUUUUUUAUAGAAAAACUAAUGAAAAGCGUCUGAAAUGUUUUAGUUUUAAUAAAAAAUCAUGUUAUAAGUUUUGUUUAAUGAUUAGUAUAAAACUCAUAUUAAAGUAGUCCAACUAAAAAUGGUCUAACUAUAAUAACUUAUUAUUUGUUGAUUUUACCUUUAACUUUUUUAGGUUGACUUUCAGAUUUUCGUCGUUAAUGAAGUUCAUCGUUGUUUUGCAGACUUUCUUCUUUUUCUUUGAAACAAAAAUAUAGAUCCUCAUGCAAGUUAAUUUAUAUUUUGUAUUAUUUUGUUGAAACGUGAUUGUUGUUAUUAUUCAUAAAGUAUUCGAAAUAUUGUUUUUCAAUUUUUCUUUGUUAGUGGAGUUCAUCGUUUGUUUUUACAAAAAAAAAUUUGAGAUCUGCAUGUUAUUCAAUAAUAACGAUGGUCAGUGUUUCUGGACUGUAAAAAUAAACUGUUUCUGGAUUUUAAGUAACACUGUUUCUGGAUCUAAAUGAAAUAGACACACUGUUUCUUAAAUGAAAGCUAGAAAAGAAAUAGUGAAAUUCAUUGUAUUUGAAUUCAAAGAAAAAUAAGCAUCAUGUUUUUUAAAUAUAAUCAACUGAUGCAUGCAAGAAAAGAAACAAUCAAAGGUUAAAACAUAGACUGUUUCUGGAAUUUAAAGCACUGUUUUUUGAAUUUAAGUCAUUGUUUAUGGAUUUUGGUUCUUUUAUUUUCAGAUAGAGUGUUUGUUUGUGCACAGAAAAAACAAAAAAUGUAUCUGAUUUUUUUUUUCCAAAAAUAGUGUUAUGUUUUGGGUUCUCCAGAAACAGUUUUAUGUUUUGGUUUUUUUUUUCCUAUUUACAAACGCCUGACAUGUAUGUACAUCACCGGGACCGUAGGUCCUUAUUGGAUCUGAUUGGAAUAAAAUACUAACACUAUAAAUUGUUCGUGGUGCAGAUAAGAGGAUGAGGAUGAGGACGAUGACGAGGACAAGGAGGAUAAGGGCACGAAAAAGGUAGACAAUAGUUUUGGAUGAUUUUUUAUUAAACUUUGAGCCCUUUUGGUUAAAUAAUAUUUUAGGAUGAUUUUUGGUUAAAUAUUUGUUGGCCCAAAUCAUUUUCAUUAAAGCUCCAUUUUUUUAUUUAUGUUUGAAAUUUGAAUUUUUUAGGGACAAAAUGACGAUAAAACCAUUGUCCUUAGGACUUUAUAAGUUGCCACUUACCACUUUAUCCUAAUCCUUCUAGGCUUUCUAGUCAAAUCCCAAUAGGAUAGGAAUAUUUCCGACUGUGUCAAAAGAACAAAGUAAUCUUCUUUAUAACUAGCAUCUCGGUAUGCGCUUAAAUGCGCGAAUUGACUUUUAAACACCAAUUAAUGUGUUGGCAUUUCAUUAGUUUUAUGUUUUAUAUCAUCACUUUGAAACUUAUUUAUUUGUACUAAAUAAGAAAUUGCUAUAUAUAGUUGGUGUAAUAAGUUUGUGUCUCUAACAUUAUUGAUGUAAAUAGACUGAUUUUCUUAUAUUUUUUUAAUUUUUUAUUUAUUAAUUAUAUAACUUUACACUUUAUUGCUAUUCAAAGAAGACAGAACAAGGAGGAGAUCAAUUAUUCCUCAAUUAAUCUACUUCUUGACCUUUUUGGUAUUAAGUUACAUAUAGUAAGCAUCACGUAACUUUUAUUUUCAUGUGUUAAUAAAUGUAAGAAUCCAAAUGAUUUCGUGGUUGGCAUGAAAUCUUCAAUAUAACCUCUUGUCCCAUGAGAUUUGAAACCAUUACAUCAUCCGACAAAAUGGAGAUCCAAAAACCAUUAGUACAAAGGUAGAAUACAACCAAACUCUAGGUAUAGCAAUAUUUUUUUCUCUCUAACAAAAGCCAAUACAUGCAGAUGACGCUUUAUCAUAGUGACGAAAAACAAUUAUAUCCAUGCACCCCAACCAACCUCCUCACCCCUAACAAAAGCCAAUACAUUGAUAUCCUCUACCCUUAUAAAGUCAUCACAUUUUUAUUCAGAGAAUGGAGGAGAGAAGCUGAAGUAGCAUAUGAGGCCAUGAGAACAUGUUCAACAUGGAAAUUCAGACCAACGAAGCAUAAAAACCAUAUGGCAAAGAUGAUGAUGCAUCUGGAACAAUUGACAAACUCGAUAAAAAAGAUGUGAUGUGCAAACACGACGCCCUUUCAGGUUGGAGGGGGCCUUUGUGGUCUGAGACUCGGUCUCCAUUGUGAAGUCACGGCCCAGGAUCAUGGAAGUACCUGGACUGUGGCUGCAGUAUACUAAUAAGAGAGAGAGAGAGAGAGAGAGAGAGAGCUCCUCUAAUUCAACCAUAUAAAAGUAAAACUGAUGAUAAAUCAUUCCCAUAGUCAUACAAUAAAAGUAAAUAACAUUUCUACUGUUCCAAACACACAUACAACGUCAAAAAAAUGCAGUCUCUUUAAUUAAUUAUUGGCAAAUAGCUAGAAAUCUUUCAAAAUGCGGUCCAUUCAUUUCGCGAUUGCGGUUGCGGUUUCUUCGUUUUGUUGAAGCUCGCCAGCAUCUCUACAAUGGUGCAAUCCACUUUACAAUGCACUGUGCAGUGCCCAUUGCACUUCCUUUUCCACUGCCCUGGCAUUAUCAGCAGAAUCCGCAUAUGUUUGACAAUAUUUUUCCGCGUAUGUUGCAAAUGAUAUAAAUUCUUCAGGCGUCACAUCCUUCUUGCCCUUGUUUCUUCUUCUGGCAGCAGCAGUGGCGGGAGUAGCAGCACCACACCGAUGACAACGCCCAGCCUUCCACCUCACAGCAGCAAACAGAUGCACUCAAUGCAUCUGAGCCAAUGUCACUGACAGAUGCACUCAAUGCAUUAGGUGACAUCGAUUUCACCUGCAAGUUCAAAAUCCAGAAAUUUAAUUUAAGCACAAGUGAGGGAAGGAAAAGACCAACUUAGAUGCUAAGUACUGAAACAUCAUUACAGCACUCAAAAAGAGAAAUAUGUAAUAAGAACCACUUUACUAACCGCGUUCAAGAGGCUGCUCGGUAACACUCGAUUUGCUAGAAAUAGUUGACAAAGCAUUAAAAUGACUAGCAUCUGGUACAAUAAAUUCAGCAAGCAAAGGAGAUGCCAACAUCCCACUAGUGCCAAUUGCAAGGGACUGGACUGGUGCUCCCACCCCAGCUGCUUGUUGAUGUCCGAUAUUCCCAGCAUUUGGUAGUGAGGAAGGUUUCUCAGAAUCCCCUGGCAUGGGGGAUGGAACCAUGGGAGUUGAAGGAGAUGGGAUGACAACAGGUGAACCGGCAGUUUGCAAUGGUGUUCCAGCUUUCAGGUGAGUCAGUAGAUUCUUGUGGUCAACUUGGGGAGAAGAAUGUUGCGAAAUUUGACAAGAUGCAGCCUGAAUGAGUUGGUUUGAUGAUGGAAUAGGAAAUGGAGAUCCUAAUUUCAACUGCUGAUGCGGAUAAGCAUGCUGGCCUGCGGAUAUAUGUUGCUGAAAAACCCCUGGCUUAACACCCAUCCCCUGUCUCAUCUUCAAGUCAUUUGCAUCAUUCAUUUGAUGAAGCAGUGGCAUUUGGUGUUGGUUCGCCUCCACCUGCGCCGGAAGCUGCUGGUUUGCUUGCAGCAACUGUUGAUGCUGCUGUUGCUGUUGCAGUAUCUGCUGCUUCUGUAUCAAUUGCCGCUGCAUUCGCUGUUGAUACUGUUGCUUCAGUUGAUUCUGAAACAUUUGCUGUUCCUGCUGUUUUAAUUGCUGGUGUUGAAGCAUACCAGAAUUUGACUGAAGGGAGAUAAUAUGGCUGAAGCAUACUAACCCCACUCUGCGAUGACAAACCAUUCAUGUUAGCUUGCUGGGGAGCACUGACAGGAGUUUGUUGGAUAGAUCCCACCGGAACUUGCUGCAAAGAGUUCAGUGCAUUUCCCUGUCCUGAAUCCAAAUUUGUACUCAGCUGCAAUGAAUUCAUCAUGUUCUGUUGUGCUGUUGAAACCCCAGAUAUCGAAGACAUUGAAUUUUGCUCCAAGCUUGUCAUAUAGUUCUGCUGCAUUGUUGGCACAGAACCUUGUAAAUUCAUUGUUUGCAACUGAGGGUUCAUUUGAUUUUCAUGAGACUGCACUUGAGGAGUUUGAGGCUGCGGCUGCUGCAUGGAGUGCAUAUGAGGUGGGGGGAGCUGCCCUUGUUGCAGAGGAUCUUGCUUCCGUGGUCCAUUUGUAUUAAUAAAAUUUACUAUCUGCUUCUCAUAUAAACCCAACUUGUCUUUCAAACCAGGUGAAAUGCUACUCUUGGAAAUCUGUAAGACUGAUAUGAGGCGCUCUAACAUGGUUUUGAACAUUUUAAGCUUCUCAAGCUGCUCUGACUUUGGUUGUUGUGGAAGAGAAUCGUGCUGGCAAACAGAAAGAACAGACGUCAGUAAGCAAAUGAAUGGCAAUAUAAGGAGUAACAACUUUGUUGCGAAAUCUUAUUAGCAUUAUUGGUGAGGUAACAAUCUCAUGUAGACGGUCUACAUGGGUACAAUAAUUAAAAGGGAGAUCAAG